AGAUACAAAACAAUAUGUCCAACCAUAAUAUUUUUUUUUUACUUUUAUGUAUAUGUGUGUGCCAGGUCAUCUUUAUGAGCAUGACACAUUCAGUGACUGAGGAGACAAGGGUGUUGGAUCCCCUGAAACUGGAGUUGCAGGCAGUGGACCACCAUCUGGGUACUAGGAACCAAAACCAGGUUCUCAACAUCUCUGAAGCUCCCACUAAUGUAUUUUCAAUGGCAGAAGAAAUCUCCCUGAGCCCUUUCCCUACAGAGUCAGCAGAGGAGGAGAAACUAACUGCAAGCCUCAGGCUUUCUGGCACAGCUACACCAACACUCAGGCCAGUAAGGAGAAACUGGAUGUGUCCUGCAUAAAACACGGUGUAAUCUCCGGCUCAUUUGUGGUCCUAUUCCUGGAAAUCCCUACUACAGAGUUUGACAUUAAAGAGACAAAAAUAAGGAUAGCCACAAACCAACUGCACUUGCCUUGCCAACCAACAAGAUAACAGUAAGUUUUCUUAUGAACUGACUCUCUGCUGUUGGUGCUGUUUGCACUGGUGGCUUUUGGCAUUAUGCAUACUCCUCAUGGGUUGUUUUAUCCCUGUUAUUCCCUUGAAAAUCUGUUUUCUUUAAACUCUUUUUGCUCUCUGUUCCACCAGCAAGCAACAGCACAAUGAGGCUGAGUAAGAGUUAAAGCUAAAGGAAGUCAUCAGCAUCUCCCAGGGCCUUCCUUCCUGUGCUACCUGGAUGGCAAGAUACUGACAACCUAAAGCUUCACCACUGUCCAGUGAGGAUACUCGAUCCAUUUGCAGAUGGUGCCCAAGGAUCAUCAGCUUCUCAACGGACAGCAAAUUACUGAACUGAUCUGUUCCAUAUGACCACCAGCUGUGAGGUGCCUGCAGCAGUUCUCCCCUGCCAGCCUGGCUGCUCUGUGUCCUUUCCUCCCCGUGGAUGCACUGUGGAGCUCCCAUCUUUGAUGCUGCCUGAUAGACCAAAUGUGCCAUGGUCCCAACAAUGAUGACAUCUCCAGCUAGGGCAGCAGUUCUCCUUCUACCAGCUGGCAUGUCAGGCUCAUGAGCUAUCUAUCCUCAGGUUUAUGGAAGAAAUAACUGGACCGGUGAGAUGAGGCAGCCACAUCAAAGACAUGAGGGCUAGUGUGUCCCCAUGCACACAUGGACCGUGAAAGUCCUGCUAUGUUCCUACCAUGUACCCCUGCACUCAGGUUUCUGUGGGACUCUAUGAAAUCCUGGAUUGGGCAGGUCUCCAGGGGCGUUCUAGGCCUGCUACUGUCAAAACUAGAACUCCUUACCAAGCAACCAGCUUCUCUCAUGGUCUCCACCAACACUACUCUCACUGCAGCAGUCUGGUGGAGCCACCAUAGACAGGCAAGGCUAAAGAGUUAGAAACAAACAGGUGGUGCAUAUGUUCUCUUGUUCUCCGAGUUCAACACCAUUGUAUCACGGCAUCUCCCUUGCUUGCCUCCCUCUUUCUCCAGGAAUCCCAGUCCUGAACUCAGUCACCCAGUGCUAGGAACCUGUAUUUGUAUUUCUGCCACUGAACUUGAAAGUCUCCUUCCACAACAGUCUCUACUCUGGUACCCAGAUUCCUCUACCGCACCUGGCCUCAGUCUUCUUCCCUUAUGGGUAGACAGACUCUGGGACACUUCAAAAAGCAAUGCAGACAUAAAACACACCAAGAUAACAUACAUGAGAGCAAGCAAAGGCUAUUCCUUCAGAGCUAGCUAUGGCAAGCUUCAAAAUCCAUUAUUUGCCUCAGAGAAUCAUAGGAAGGCAGGGUGAGGAAGCUUUGUUGCAGAAAAAAGAUAGGAAGCCAGCAUGCCAUGGGUGCUGUUUUGAAAACUAUAUUUGUUUUCUCUCCUUUGACCCCAAGUAAGAAGUAUAGGGAAGGCAAGCAUGAGGGGAUCCCAUCAUAAAUAAACAAAAUUUGACCCCUUUUUGGCCCCAUUGAUGAAGAAGUCUCAGACCUGAUCUUAUAUUCUAUGAAUUGUCUAGUCAUUGUCCCUUUGAAAAUCAUAUCUCUCCAGUUAUCCAUCCAUCCCAUCUAUAUCCCUAGGCUAUAUCAUUUUUCCAGGAGAAAACUGUGGGUGGCUCUGACCUUCCAGAUGCUUGAAGGUGAUUUUGAGAGAAACGUUCCAAGGAGCUGGCAUUCGCUAUAGGUAACAUGAGCCCAAGGUCUUCAGCCUUGUAAUGAGGACAGCUGAGCUCUUUGGUUUUCACAUGGUGAGUCCACAGCCCCCUGUAAGCCCUCCUUGACCUUAGCCUGAGUUCUGCCACAGUGUAGACAUCCAGUGGCUAUAGAAAACUACAUAUGGGGAUGGGGCAGUAGCUCAGUUAGUAGACUGAUGUCUUCUAUACACAAAACCCUAAGUUUGAUCCUCAACACCACAUAAACUGCUAUGGGGGUUUGUGCCUGCAAUCUCAGCACUCCGGAGGCAGAGACAAGAGGAUCAAGGCAUUCUUCAGCUAUGUUAGGAGUUAUAAAACAACCUGAGAUACAUGAGAUCUCACUCAAACAAAAGGGUCAGGGAGGGAAAGGGGAAGGAAGUUAGGAAGGAAUGGAAGAAGGAGACUGUAGAUGGGUCUACAUGCCAUCAUUUGUUCUCGUGAGUAAUUUAGAAACAUAGUUUGUACCACAUGUAAGUUUCUAUUAUAUGCAGGAGUGACAAAGGAUGAGGUGGACAUUCUGUGACUGCAAAUGAAUUAGAAAUUCAAUUUCUGUACUCAUGCAUCCUCCCAGAUUCACUUUUGUUAUGGUUGUUUUCUUUUUUGUGGUUCUUUUACAUCAUGAUGUGGACAGGAAGUGAUGCUCUGAUACCCCAAACUUUCAAACAUCUUUUGCAAAUCUGCCAAUGAGAAAUAAGCCUUCUAUACUCAUCACCCAUAUCCCCCAGUCUGGUGAACAGUAAGUGAUGGCACCCUGGUGAUUCACUGAGUGCUAUUUAGUUGGUUCUGUCAGCUGUUUAUUAAUCUGUAGCUUCCUGCUGAGAUACAGGGUGUGCUUUUUAAAGAAACCUUACACAGCACAAGUUUUAUUUUGGGACCGGACACACUAAUAUACAAAGAGGAUCUGUGAGAGUUUCAGAGUCCUGCAAGGGGUGUUCUUGCAGCAAAAAGUUUCGUGAGCACUCAUUGGCACACCCAAGCACUUUUCAGUGAAGUGGCAGUGUAUGAAUGAAUGAACUCUCCUCAACUUCAAGAAAGUAACCAUCUAUGCCAGGGAAGUGAAAGUCCUAUUGUGUGGUAAGUGCAGUCUUGACAUUACAGGUCCAUUGGGAAUCAAGAGAACCGUAAAAUUCCAGAGAAAUGGAAGGGCGAGUACCAUGGAAGACUCUAGCAGGAAGACUGAGGAAGACAUUCAGCUAGUGGGGAUCAUAACAAAACAUCUCAUUUCAUGACUGUAGAGGGGACAGAGUAAACAAGGAAAAGCUAGAAG
ensembl:lincRNA